rnacentral:misc_RNA from 1 species
UGUCAUAAUUCUGUCAAUAGCCCUCAAAGUUUUAUAUGCUCCAGCAAAUUCAACACCAGAGCAAACCUUUAUCGGAGAAGUAGCUGAAGUGAAAAUGUCAAGCAGCAGCGAAUGAGAACAUCACGUAGACACUCUGAAAUGCAAAAAUAUCCUCCAGCAACAUUUGGCAGCUGAGGGGUUUGAACAGUCAGUGUGUUCUGAGUCGUGGUCGGGGUGGUGGCAUCGCCGCGAGAACUUAUAGAUUUUAGGUCAAAUAUCGUGGCUAGUAGGACGUGAUUGGAGUUAUUCAUUGAUGGGUAAGAGGAAAUGUUGAUACUACCCGCGGUGAAGGCAAGACGAAGGACAGGUGUGCAGGGAGAGAGCGAGGGUUAGUCAGAAUAGCCGUGCCCUUGCGGUUUGACUGCCUGCAGUACUGCCUCGCCGUGACCUGACUCCAUGAGUGAGGCAUUACUUGGUGGCAGAGGAGGGGAUGGUGUUGCCGCCCCUCCUGUGGUCAUGAGUGGGAGGGGAAGCGGAAAAAGCGACAUGAAGAAAGGUUUGACUCUGGUAUUUAUUGCUAUGUUUUGUAACGUGGUAUAAUUAUUGCAGUAAACUUUAAAGUUACCAUC